AGAGUUUGAUUCUGGCUCAGAACGAACGCUGGCAGCGUGGAUUAGGCAUGCAAGUCGAACGUGAAGCUGUUGAUCAAUUCUUCGGAAGAGUGAUUCAGUGGAAAGUGGCGAAAGGGUGAGUAACGCGUGGGUAACCCACCCUGAAGUUGGGGACAACUCUUCGAAAGGGGAGCUAAUACCGAAUGUGGUCCCCCCCCGCAUGUGGGGGAGACUAAAGGUGGAAUCCUUCGGGAUCUGCCGCUUCUGGAGGGGCCCGCGUGACAUCAGCUUGUUGGUGAGGUAAUGGCUCACCAAGGCUUACGUCUAGCUGGUCUGAGAGGAUGGUCAGCCACACUGGGACUGAGACACUGCCCAGACUCCUACGGGAGGCUGCAGUCGAGAAUCAUUCACAAUGCGCGAAAGCGUGAUGAUGCGACGCUGCGUGGAGGAUGAAGGCCCUAGGGUUGUAAACUCCUGUCAUGAGGGAAAAACCGCACGGAUGUAAAUAGCGUCUGUGUUUGAUGGUACCUCAAGAGGAAGCCACGGCUAACUCUGUGCCAGCAGCCGCGGUGAUACAGAGGUGGCGAGCGUUGUUCGGAUUUACUGGGCGUAAAGCGUACGUAGGUGGUUUCGUGUGUCGGGUGUGGAAGCCCACGGCCCAACCGUGGAAUUGCACUCGAAACUGCGGGACUUGAGUGCAGGAGGGGAGAGCGGAAUUCAGGGUGUAGCGGUGAAACGCGUUGAUAUCCUGAAGAACACCGGUGGCGAAGGCGGCUCUCUGGAAUGUUACUGACACUGAGGUACGAAAGCGUGGGGAGCGAACAGGAUUAGAUACCCUGGUAGUCCACGCCGUAAACGUUGUGCACUUGGUGUGGGCGGUAUUGACCCCGUCCGUGCCGGAGCUAACGCGUUAAGUGCACCGCCUGGGGAGUACGGCCGCAAGGCUAAAACUCAAAGAAAUUGACGGGGGCCCGCACAAGCGGAGGAGCAUGUGGCUCAAUUCGAUGCAACGCGAAGAACCUUACCUGGACUUGACAUGUAACUGCAUGCCCCGGGAGACCGGGGAGGCCUUCGAGGGUGUUACACAGGUGCUGCAUGGCUGUCGUCAGUUCGUGCCGUGAGGUGUUGGGUUAAGUCCCGCAACGAACGCAACCCUUGUGUUUAGUUGCCACCGGUGGUGAUGAGCCACCGAGCACUCUAAACAGACUGCCUGUACAAGCAGGAGGAAGGUGGGGAUGACGUCAAGUCAGUAUGGCCCUUAUGUCCAGGGCUGCACACGUGCUACAAUGGCCGGUACAAUGGGAAGCAAUACCGCGAGGUGGAGCAAAUCCUCUACACCGGUCCCAGUUCGGAUUGGAGUCUGCAACUCGACUCCAUGAAGUUGGAUUCGCUAGUAAUGCCGUAUCAGCUGCGACGGCGUGAAUACGUUCCCGGGCCUUGUACACACCGCCCGUCACAUCAUGAAAGCCGUCUGCACCCGAAGUCGCCGAGCUAACCCGCAAGGGAGGCAGGUGCCGAAGGUGUGGGUGGUGAUUGG
rnacentral:rRNA from 1 species